UACGAAGGGGGCUAGCGUUGUUCGGAAUUACUGGGCGUAAAGGGCGCGUAGGCUGUGCUGUAAGUCAGGUGUGAAAGCCCCGGGCUCAACCUGGGAAUUGCGCUUGAUACUGCGGCGCUGGAAGGUGGGAGAGGAUGGCGGAAUUCCCAGUGUAGAGGUGAAAUUCGUAGAUAUUGGGAAGAACACCGGUGGCGAAGGCGGCCAUCUGGCCCACAUUUGACGCUGAGGCGCGAAAGCGUGGGGAGCAAACAGG
rnacentral:rRNA from 1 species